rnacentral:rRNA from 1 species
AAUCAACGCUGGCGGCGUGCCUAACACAUGCAAGUCGAACGCGAAAGCCCCUUCGGGGGUAAGUAGAGUGGCGUCCGGGUGAGUAACACGUAGGUAAUCUACCUUCGGGUGGGGAAUAACCAGUCGAAAGAUUGGCUAAUACCGCAUAAUGCAGCGGCACCUAAUGGUGAUUAGUUGUUAAAGCGGGGGAUCGUAAGACCUCGCGCCUGAAGAGGAGCCUGCGGCAGAUUAGCUAGUUGGGAGGUAAU